CCCUCACCCCCUCCUCCCCAAAAAUCUCCCGCUCCCCACUCCACACCUAAUAUGCGUACUCCUCUUCCUCCUCCCCCAACCCUACUCCACAAUCUCCUAUGGCGAAGAACACUCAAUAACCCCACCGCUGCCGCCACUACCAUCUUCUUCUUCUUCUGUCUCUGCCCUCUUCCUCUGUUUCUACUCGAGACAUGAGUACUACUUGCUCCUCCUCUUCUCCACUCUACUCCGCCAGAAGCACCUUUGCAGCACACCAAGCCGCCCUCCUCCUCCGCACCUCCGCCCUCCCCCACCUCCCCAAACGCCCCUCUCUCUCCAUCUCAGAUCCCCAAUUCCCGAAAAGGGACGCUCUCCUUUCCCCCCCUAAAUCCUCUCUUUAUCUUCUCAGAUUCAGAACUCACCAGCUCUUCCACCCUUUCGCCGCCGUAUUUUCGUUCGCCGACGGCGAGGACGAACAGGGGUUCAAAGCAACAGGGGAACCCCAAGAAGAUGCGAAACCGAAAGACGAUGCCGACGACCAGCCCGGAAUGGCUCAGGCUUUCCACAUAUCAGCGAGAACUGCUUCCGCCAUAACCAUCUGCAUAGUGUUCGCGGCGCUGAGUCUGCCGUUCUUUAUGAAGUCCGUGGGGCAGGGAUUCGGCCUGAGGACCAAAUUGUUGUCGUACGCGACGCUUCUGUUCGGGUUCUACAUGGCGUGGAACAUUGGGGCUAACGAUGUGGCCAAUGCGAUGGGGACUUCGGUGGGCUCCGGCGCUCUGACGCUCCGGCAAGCGGUUCUGACGGCGGCGGUGCUGGAGUUCUCCGGCGCGCUGUUGAUCGGUACGCAUGUGUCGAAUACAAUGCAGAAGGGGAUUCUGGUUGCCGACGUGUUCCAGGGCAAGGAUAGUUUGCUUUUUGCCGGCCUGCUCUCUUCUCUAGCCGCCGCCGGCACGUGGCUGCAGGUUGCAUCAUAUUAUGGCUGGCCUGUCUCCACCACGCAUUGUAUUGUAGGAAGCAUGGUUGGAUUUGGCCUCGUCUAUGGUGGGGCUGGUGCUGUCUUCUGGAGUUCACUGAUGAGGGUGAUUUCAUCCUGGGUGUUCUCACCUUUAAUAGGUGCAAUGGUCUCAUUUCUUGUCUACAAGUGUAUCCGCAGGUUUGUGUACAGUGCUCCAAACCCAGGGCAAGCUGCAGCUGCAGCUGCACCAAUUGCUGUUUUUGUGGGCGUAACUGGAAUCUCUUUUGCAGCCUUCCCUCUUAGCAAGACACUUCCAUUGGCUGUGACCCAGGCCUUAGCCUGUGGCACUGCUGGUGCAUUCCUCGUCUACAGAAUUAUUCAGAAACAGCUUGGUCAUCUUCUGCUCAAGUCAUCAGAGCAGAAGGAAGAUGCUCUUCAUGAUAAAAAUAUAGGGUUUCUUUCAGAUAUAGCAGGCCCAAAAGGUACCCAGCUUGAAAUUGUGUAUGGGGUGUUUGGGUACAUGCAAGUCCUCUCAGCCUGCUUCAUGUCAUUUGCUCAUGGUGGAAAUGACGUCUCUAACGCAAUUGGCCCUUUGGCUGCUGCAUUAUCUAUUCUUCACGGCACAGGUGGAACUGAAAUUGUUAUUCCAACUGAUGUUCUUGCAUGGGGUGGAUUUGGGAUUGUUGCGGGUCUUACAAUGUGGGGUUAUAGGGUGAUAGCCACAAUUGGAAAGAAAAUUACAGAACUCACUCCAACUAGAGGAUUUGCUGCUGAAUUUGCUGCAGCUUCUGUGGUCCUAUUUGCAUCAAAGUUGGGACUACCCAUCUCAGCAACCCAUACUCUAGUGGGUGCUGUGAUGGGGGUGGGGUUUGCAAGAGGACUAAACAGAAUUAGAACAGAAACAGUGAAGGAGAUUGUGACUUCAUGGGCUGUGACAAUUCCAGUGGGUGCCAUAGUUUCUGUAUUCUACACUUGGAUCUUGACCAAGCUCCUGUCAUAUAUUCUGUACUCAACCAGCACAAGGUAAUCAUAAUUACCUACGAUCAAAUGGCCAAUUAUUAAUGAACACAUAAUGAAUAUGUAUGCCAACACAAGACCGCACCAUCCACUUAUGAGGACGAAACAAACAUGAUCAGAGGAGGUGAAUAAAUUUGGAAAGAAAGAAGAAUCUAAAAAUGGAAAAUAAUUCAAACAGCACUGAAUGUUAAGACAGGUGGUCUUUAGUCCAGGAAACAAGGCCAUAGGAAGAACAUAGCAAGGACAAGAACUCACCUGCAGAGGUCAACUGGAUUAGGCAAUAUUUCAGACCAGGCAACAGCUUUUCUUCUAGCCAUAGAAGGGAAAGAUUGUUGAAAAUAUUGGGAAAAAUUCAUGAAUAUCUUCUGGAUAGGCAACCAAUGUCGAGGAUAUUUUUUUACCAUCAUUUGAGAUGAAGGAACUGAAUUUUGGAACAGGACUAGUCCUAACAAAAGAUCACAUCCCUUCAGCACAGCCAGAAAUCAGAAGCUUUGAACCCAAAUAUUUGCAUUAUAUCCAGCAACAGGAGUGCUAACAUUUCAUUAGUUUGAGCUUUGCAGACACAUCCUGGUGCUAAGGUCAUACUCCCAGAGGCCUGAAAGCACCUGACGUUCGAGUUUCUUACUCCUUCCACUGAUCCAAUUGUUAUGGAGGAUGAGACAGCCUUUCUUCAAGCAGGCAGUUUUCACAUCUUUUUUCUCCCAUAGACCAUCAUAUGCACCAUUUGGAAAGAGGUUUCUGUCCAAGAAGUAUACCGUUAGAUUUGUUUUGGGUUCCAAGCAUCUGUCAUCACCAAGGCGAUUGGUCCCUCCUUUACCACAUAAGGUGUCAUAGAAGCUUGGCUGUUCAGAUAGAUUGGAGGUUGCAGCAUGCUUCACUAUCAUUUCCAUAGCCGCAAUUGUUUUACCAUCAGAACGAGCAAAGUAGAAACCAGAAUUCAAUCGUCGAGGUAAGUUAAUGGGUCCUACAGAUAACAAUCCCAGCAAAGCAUUUAAGGAUUGGACAAUGUAAUUGCAGAGAAGUUAAGCAUAUUUUAGUCGUAAUUAUUGAAACACGCAAGAACUUUCUUCCACAUUGUUCCAGAAAGGAAAAAGCAAGAGAAUUUGAGUGUACUUGAUCAAGUCAAAUGCUGAAUCAAAAAGGUCAUUUCUUCC